GUGGGGAAUAUUGGGCAAUGGGCGAAAGCCUGACCCAGCGACGCCGCGUGGGUGAUGAAGGCCUUCGGGUUGUAAAACCCUUUCGUGCGGAAAGAACCACCCUGGGUUGAAUAUACUCAGGGUUUGACGGUACCGCAGGAAGAAGCACCGGCUAACUCCGUGCCAGCAGCCGCGGUAAUACGGAGGGUGCAAGCGUUGUUCGGAAUUAUUGGGCGUAAAGGGCGCGUAGGCGGUUGUGAUAGUCAGAUGUGAAAUCCUCCGGCUCAACUGGAGAACUGCAUCUGAAACUUCAUAACUCGAGUACAGGAGAGGGAAACGGAAUUCCCGGUGUAGAGGUGAAAUUCGUAGAUAUCGGGAGGAACACCAGUGGCGAAGGCGGUUUCCUGGCCUGAUACUGACGCUGAGGCGCGAAAGCGUGGGGAGCAAACAGGAUUAGAAACCCCAGUAGUCC
rnacentral:rRNA from 1 species